rnacentral:rRNA from 1 species
UACAGAGGUCUCAAGCGUUGUUCGGAUUCAUUGGGCGUAAAGGGUGUGUAGGUGGCGCCGUAAGUCGGGUGUGAAAUUUCGGAGCUUAACUCCGAAACUGCAUUCGAUACUGCGGUGCUUGAGGACUGGAGAGGAGACUGGAAUUCGUGGUGUAGCAGUGAAAUGCGUAGAGAUCAUGAGGAAGACCAGUGGCGAAGGCGGGUCUCUGGACAGUUCCUGACACUGAGGCACGAAAGCGUGGGGAGCAAACAGG